GUACGCUGGCGGCACGCCUAACACAUGCAAGUCGAACGCAGUAGCAAUACUGAGUGGCAAACGGGUGAGUAUAAUGUGGGAAUCUGCCUUUUGGUUUGGAAUAACACGGGGAAACUUGUGCUAAUACCGAAUAAGCCCUUACGGGGAAAGUUUUAAUGCCGAAAGAUGAGCCCGCACUUGAUUAGCUAGUUGGUAAGGUAAAAGCUUACCAAGGCAACGAUCAAUAGCUGUUCUUAGAGGAAGACCAGCCACAUUGGGACUGAGACACGGCCCAGACUCCUACGGGAGGCAGCAGUGGGGAAUCUUGCACAAUGGGGGAAACCCUGAUGCAGCGAUGCCGCGUGAGUGAAGAAGGCCCUUGGGUUGUAAAACUCUUUCGUCGGGGAAGAAAAUGACUGUCCCCGAAUAA
rnacentral:rRNA from 1 species